rnacentral:rRNA from 1 species
AUGCAGUGCCUCCACGCCACCACGCCGUGCUGCGCCGCCGCGCCACCACGCAGCGCCUCCGCGGUCGCCGCACGUACGACGUCACCACCCGCCGCCUCCGCCACGCACCAUGGCAGCCACAGCGCCGCCCACCUCCAUAGACCGACACACGGCCCGGAGCUCCAUCGCGCAGCCGCCGGCGAGCGCCGCCAUCGCUGCCACGCCUCCGGCACGGCAAGCACGCCCAAGACACCAAGCUCAUGGUACCAAUUGUUGGCGCCGCCUCCUUCGGGCGCCGCUCUUUCUUCUUCCUCUCAUCUCUCAUGA